GUGGGGAAUAUUGGACAAUGGGCGCAAGCCUGAUCCAGCCAUGCCGCGUGUGUGAAGAAGGCCUUCGGGUUGUAAAGCACUUUUGUCCGGGAAGAAAUCUUCCAGGUUAAUACCCUGGGAGGCUGACGGUACCGGAAGAAUAAGCACCGGCUAACUUCGUGCCAGCAGCCGCGGUAAUACGAAGGGUGCAAGCGUUACUCGGAAUUACUGGGCGUAAAGCGUGCGUAGGUGGUUCGUGAAGUCUGCCGUGAAAGCCCCGGGCUCAACCUGGGAAUGGCGGUGGAUACUGGCGGGCUAGAGUGCGGUAGAGGGUGGUGGAAUGCCCGGUGUAGCAGUGAAAUGCGUAGAGAUCAGAAGGAACAGCCGUGGCGAAGGCGGCAUCCUGGGCCAACACUGACACUGAGGCACGAAAGCGUGGGGAGCAAACAGGAUUAGAAACCCGAGUAGUCC
rnacentral:rRNA from 1 species